rnacentral:rRNA from 1 species
GGUGCCUACGGGACGCAGCAGUGAGGAAUAUUGGUCAAUGGGCGCGAGCCUGAACCAGCCAAGUCGCGUGAGGGAAGACGGUCCUAUGGAUUGUAAACCUCUUUUGUCGGGGAGCAAAAGACGCCACGCGUGGCGUUCCGAGAGUACCCGAAGAAGAAGCAUCGGCUAACUCCGUGCCAGCAGCCGCGGUAAUACGGGGGAUGCGAGCGUUAUCCGGAUUUAUUGGGUUUAAAGGGUGCGCAGGCGGAAGAUAAA